GACGAACGCUGGCGGCGUGCUUAACACAUGCAAGUCGAACGGAAAGGCCCUGCUUUUGUGGGGUGCUCGAGUGGCGAACGGGUGAGUAACACGUGAGUAACCUGCCCUUGACUUUGGGAUAACUUCAGGAAACUGGGGCUAAUACCGGAUAGGAGCUCCUGCUGCAUGGUGGGGGUUGGAAAGUUUCGGCGGUUGGGGAUGGACUCGCGGCUUAUCAGCUUGUUGGUGGGGUAGUGGCUUACCAAGGCUUUGACGGGUAGCCGGCCUGAGAGGGUGACCGGCCACAAUGGGACUGAGGUACGGCCCAGACUCCUACGGGAGGCAACAGGGGGGAAUAUUGCACAAUGGGCGGAAGCCUGAUGCAGCAACGCCGCGUGCGGGAUGACGGCCUUCGGGUUGUAAACCGCUUUCGCCUGUGACGAAGCGGGAGUGACGGUAAUGGGUAAAGAAGCACCGGCUAACUACGUG
rnacentral:rRNA from 1 species